UACGUAGGCAGCAAGCGUUGUUCGGAGUUACUGGGCGUAAAGGGUGUGUAGGCGGCUCUUUAAGUUUGGUGUGAAAUCUCCCGGCUUAACCGGGAGGGUGCGCCGAAUACUGAGGGACUAGAGUACGGGAGAGGAAAGUGGAAUUCCUGGUGUAGCGGUGAAAUGCGUAGAUAUCAGGAGGAACACCGGUGGUGUAGACGGCUUUCUGGACCGUAACUGACGCUGAGACACGAAAGCGUGGGUAGCAAACAGG
rnacentral:rRNA from 1 species